rnacentral:rRNA from 1 species
AACGAACGCUGGCGGCAGGCCUAACACAUGCAAGUCGAGCGCGCCCUUCGGGGUGAGCGGCGGACGGGUGAGUAACGCGUGGGAACGUGCCCUUUUCUACGGAAUAGCCUCGGGAAACUGAGAGUAAUACCGUAUACGCCCUUUGGGGGAAAGAUUUAUCGGAAAAGGAUCGGCCCGCGUUGGAUUAGGUAGUUGGUGGGGUAAUGGCCUACCAAGCCGACGAUCCAUAGCUGGUUUGAGAGGAUGAUCAGCCACACUGGGACUGAGACACGGCCCAGACCCCUACGGGAGGCAGCAGUGGGGAAUCUUAGACAAUGGGGGCAACCCUGAUCUAGCCAUGCCGCGUGAGUGAUGAAGGCCUUAGGGUUGUAAAGCUCUUUCAGCUGGGAAGAUAAUGACGGUACCAGCAGAAGAAGCCCCGGCUAACUCCGUG